rnacentral:rRNA from 1 species
UCAAACGAGAGUUUGAUCCUGGCUCAGAAUCAACGCUGGCGGCGUGCCUAACACAUGCAAGUCGAACGAGAAAGGGGAGCAAUCCCUGAGUACAGUGGCGACCGGGUGAGUAACACGUGACUACCUGCCCUUGAGUGGGGGAUAACCUCGGGAAACCGAGGCUAAUACCGCAUAAUAUCGCAAGAUCAAAGGAGCAAUCCGCUUUUGGAGGGGGUCGCGGCUGAUUAGCUAGUUGGUAGGGUAAUGGCCUACCAAGGCGAAGAUCGGUAUCCGGCCUGAGAGGGCGCACGGACACACUGGAACUGAAACACGGUCCAGACUCCUACGGGAGGCAGCAGUGGGGAAUUUUGCGCAAUGGGGGAAACCCUGACGCAGCAACGCCGCGUGGA